GAUGAACGCUGGCGGCGUGCCUAAUACAUGCAAGUCGAGCGAACAGACGAGGAGCUUGCUCCUUUGACGUUAGCGGCGGACGGGUGAGUAACACGUGGGUAACCUACCUAUAAGACUGGGAUAACUUCGGGAAACCGGAGCUAAUACCAGAUAAUAUUUCGAACCGCAUGGUUCGAUAGUGAAAGAUGGCUUUGCUAUCACUUAUAGAUGGACCUGCGCCGUAUUAGCUAGUUGGUAAGGUGACGGCUUACCAAGGCAACGAUACGUAGCCGACCUGAGAGGGUGAUCGGCCACACUGGAACUGAGACACGGUCCAGACUCCUACGGGAGGCAGCAGUAGGGAAUCUUCCGCAAUGGGCGAAAGCCUGACGGAGCAACGCCGCGUGAGUGAUGAAGGUCUUCGGAUCGUAAAACUCUGUUAUUAGGGAAGAACAAACGUGUAAGUAACUGUGCACGUCUUGACGGUACCUAAUCAGAAAGCCACGGCUAACUACGUG
rnacentral:rRNA from 1 species